rnacentral:rRNA from 1 species
AACGAACGCUGGCGGCAGGCCUCAUACAUGCAAGUCGAGCGGACGGACCCCUUCGGGGGCGAGUUAGCGGCGAACGGGUGAGUAACAGGUGGAUGAUCUGCCUCCCGGUGGGGGAUAACGGCUGGAAACGGCCGCUAAUACCGCAUUCGGUUGAUGCGUUGCGGCGCAUCAAAGAAAGGCGCUUCACGGCGCUGCCGGGAGAUGAGUCCGCCCCCCAUUAGCUAGUUGGCGGGAUAACAGCCCACCAAAGCUUCGAUGGGUAGCCGAACUGAGAGGUUGAUCGGCCACACUGGAACUGAGACACGGUCCAGACACCUACGGGUGGCAGCAGUAGGGAAUAUUGGGCAAUGGGCGAAAGCCUGACCCAGCCAUGCCGCGUGAGUGACGAAGGUCCUAUGGAUUGUAAAGCUCUUUUCUGAGGAAAGAACAUCCGGGGUAGGAAAUGACCCCGGCUUGACGGUACCUCAGGAAUAAGGAACGGCUAACUCCGUGCCAGCAGCCGCGGUAAAACG